CGGGAGUAACACCUGGAAACAGAUGCUAAUACCGGAUAACAACAGAUGAUGCCUAUCAACUGUUUAAAAGAUGGUUCUGCUAUCACUCUUGGAUGGACCUGCGGUGCAUUAGCUAGUUGGUAGGGUAACGGCCUACCAAGGCGAUGAUGCAUAGCCGAGUUGAGAGACUGAUCGGCCACAUUGGGACUGAGACACGGCCCAAACUCCUACGGGAGGCAGCAGCC
rnacentral:rRNA from 1 species